GUUCCUGUAAGAAAGCAACAGAUCAAUACGUGCAGGGCCGAAUCUCACAUCAGUAAAUGAAAAAACAUGCAACAGCCAUUGCUUCCUGAAUGGUUGGAAGUCAUACCUCCCAUCCUCAGCUAUCACUUAGGAAACAUGGGUCCUAAAAGGAUUAACAAAAGAGUAACACACUGUGAAACCUGUGAAAUGAUGCUGUGAGCAGCCCUCAGUAGAAUGUACUAAGAUCUUUUCAAAGGAUGAGUAAAGCGUGUGAGGAUGUAUUGAUUGAGGCAGUAAUGGAUGUCAGGCAGACACGGAGCUGUGUCAGCCCUGGGAGCAUCUGUGCUGCAGCCCUGCAGGCAGGAAGGGUCCAGGGAUGCUUUGUGCAUCACCUGCAGCCCUGAGCUGUGUGAGAGACAAGGGCAGAGCAGCCAGAGCCAAAUGCCAGAGGAAAUGCCUCUCUCAGUGCCCCUAACAGCCCUGGCUCCCUCAGCCUCUGGACAUUACAGGCUCUGCCCCAUCUCACCCACGGACUCGAGAAUGUGGCAGAGGAAGGGUUUGGUGUGGCCAUGCAGAUGCCAAAUCUCAGUCCUGUCACUGCACCACGGAGCAGCCAGAUGUUUGCUGGCCUCCCCUGCAAGGGCAGCCAGCUGCAGGGCAGCUGCCCUGGUGCUUGCAGUGCCCUACAGAGGCGUGAAAGGAAGGAGGAAAAACUCUGCUGGUAUAAUGAUCGUAAUUCUGAUUUUAAAAUAUCACAGGAAAUUAAAUGUCUCAGGAGCUCAAGAUAUUCUUAUGUAGCUUCUAAAGUAUUCUCAUGUGAGAAAAGGACGGUAUUAGAAAAAAAAGAAACCCACCAUUCUGCAUUUUCUGCACAUCUUUUGCCAUUUUGUCUUUACAAGAGAAAGAAAAAAGCUCCCAUUCUCUGACUGGCAAUUGCUUCAACAAAGAAUGUGAAGCAAGCAAUUUUCUUCUUUUUUUUCCUUUAAGCUAAUUGGUUGUUAUUUAGUUAAUUGACAAUUGGUUUCAGUUGCUGUCAAAUAGGGACAGUCAUUGCAUUUUUGUAAGAUUUCUGCAUAAAAGCCUUCCCUCACUGUUCCCUGCCCAGCACCAGCCAUGGCAACAAAGGCUGUUGCAAGGGUAUCAUCCAAUUAGCAGCAAAAUGGAAAACUCCAGUGCUCCCACGGGCAGAUUAUGGUUUAUGUACAGAAAUUUGGAGCUGUUUGGGUACAAAAGGCCUGUCUGUACACAGCAGCAGAGGGUCAGACUGCCAACAGAACCCCAACAUUUCCUCUGAGCCCUCAGGAGCAGGGUAACCUCAAAAUGAGCAGCCCAGAGUCCCUGACAGGAGGGACAGGAGGGAGGACAGGGAACCUCCUCACUCCUGGUUUUCCCUCUGCUCUCCUGGGAGUGCUGUGCUCCUCUGAGCCUGCAGCCCAGCCCGUGCAGAGAUGGAAAUAAUUCUUUCUGUGAAACAGCAUUUCCAUCUCUGCUUACCUCAAAAGUCCCUGAUGAUGGCACCUAAAUGACAAAAAUCUGCAGGCUCUCAAGCCCCUCACACAUCCACCCUUAACACUGAAUGAAGGAAUAAAGAAAUAAAAGGGAAAAUCCUGCACAUAAAAGUGCCGGAUUCACCCUAGUCGUGACUCAGGCACACUUAAGUAAGCAGGAAGAUGAACUGUCAGGGGCUGCUUCUCUUCUUGGUUUUGAGCUGAUCAGCUAAACUACUGAAAGGUUCCUUCAUUAACAAAUUCAUGAAUAUGUGAAAAAAAAGAAAAAAAAAUAAUUUGGUGUGUGAUAACAUAGUAAAAAGGCCUCAUGGCAUUUAUUAUACACUUAGAGUAGCUGUAUUUCCAGGCAGCUGCCUAGAAUAUAUCUAAAAUAAUUCAGGCUGCAUUACAGAAUGCCAAGCCUGAAAGCUAAAAUAUCACAAAAGCCAAUCUGGAAUUCUUCCUGCUCUAUUUCUGCAGAAGACAUAUCUGAAGCCAAAACCCCUCCAAAUGAUCAGCCAUCACACCCAGCUACCCUGCAGGACUGCAUGUUAAUUAUUCCAUGCUCCACAUGGCUCUGGAGCAGGAAUUCAGACAGAGAGGGGAGGCUGUGUGUGAGGAAGUGCUCAGAGCCCCUCGCUGGGAUGGGCACAGGGGCAGGAGGAUGUUUGCUCUCUGCCAUUUAUUGCACUCUGAAUUUGCACUCUGAAUUUGCACACCAGGGGCCACCACCAAAUUGUUCCACUGAUGAGGCCAGGACUGGGAUUGUUAAGGUUUCUUUCGCCACAGGUCAAAUAUCCUGCAGCAGUUUAUUAGAACAAUCACAGAUUUUGUUCAGAUGGACUUAGUGCUAGAAGCCUGAGCAAACAGCAAGAAAAGAAAAUUUAACUUUGAGAAGUAUUUAAGAAAAGUAUUGUGUACUUGGGAGACUUGAAAGAUGUUCUUAUAUAUUGAGCAUGUAAUUAUAUUCCUUGUGAUCAAUGACUAUGUCUGUGUACAGGAUUUAUCCUUUAUUUUCUCCACUUAAUGAAAAUUGGAUUUUUUUCCCUCCAUAUCCCAAUUUCUUUCAGAACUAUAAUGUAGCCCAGGAUUCCAUUUUAUAAUCAUGAAUUUUUGAAGGAGCCUCGUUAAGGCUCCAGAGUAGUGAUUUUCUGCACCAGCGAGCCUGCCUUUUUUUAUUAACAGAGAUUGAUUUUCUCAUCUUGGCAUGCGAAGUUCCAGGGUGCAUCCUCUGGACCAUCACCCUGUGAUGUGCAGUGGUAUCAGCAGCACAGGAUGGGAAUACUUCAGCUUCAUGGCAUCAGGAAUUACAGCUUUCAGAUGCCCAGUGUGAGGAUCUGGAGAAGCUGGGGUUUCCUGAGCCCCCAGAAGCCAUUUGCUGCAGCAGUGGAAAUGACAAUUACAUUUGUGUCAGAUCUGGCACCUCUCCAGGCAGGUUCCAACCCUGGGCUGGGGCUGUGCCCGUGUGUCCCGUUCUGACCGUCCUGGGGAUGCCAGCACAGCUCUGCCCUGUGUGCACAGCUGGUCCUGGGGGCUCUGGGCCAGGGCUGUCACUGUCCCCAGCCUGGCAGCCGCCAAAGGCACUUUUCCAGAACAAACCUGGGGCUUUGCGGGGCUGGAGCAGCCCAGGGGCAGCACCCCUGGCCACGCCUUGGCUGCAGGUGGCCCAGAGCCCCAGCAGGGCUGUGGGGCUGAACUGACUGCUACAGGCUGCCAGCUGAUCCGUGGGACAGGUCCCCAGAGCCACCUCCAGGAUCUGCAUUUGCCGCACAACCACAGCCAUGAGAUCAGAAAUUACACACAAAAGAGACACUGAAUUUGCUCAGGAAAACAACCGAAUGACAGGAGUGAUAGGGAGGCAAAGCUUUCUGGAGAGUGAUCCCAGACAACUCCAUAGAAUGGAUUUUCCUUAUUGCUAGUGCGUAAACAGGAAUUUACCAAGUGAAACACAAAUGGUCAGUGGCAUGUAAAAUUAUUUAUGCAAAGCUUCUGUGAAGAGUACAAAAGAGCCCAAGGAAGCAGCUGGACAACCAGGAUCUCCAGAGAAGGAUUUCAGGUUGUCAGUAGGUAUUCUCUGAAUCCAUGGGGAAAGCACUGAAAAGAGCCCAUAGGGGUUUCCCUGGCAUCACUCCUUUGCACAGCAAACCAAAUGCACAAAUUCAGGGGAAAAUGCCCACAGUGAACCAAAGUAGAAAACAUAUUAAUUACAAACACAGAGAUGCAGAGGUGAAUUUUGUUCAUUACUCUUUUUCUGCCCUUAUCAGUGACUCAGCUGAGCAAAUGUCUCCAUCUCUGCCCAGGUUUUUAAGUGGCCUUUAGGCCCCUCAAUAACCCAUAAAUAAGAACUGGGUGCGUCACCUCAGCCAGGAUGUGCUGCUGAUGGCCCAAGGGAAACGACUCAGAGACUGAAACAAGGCUGGGAUUUAACUGAGACAGGAACUAUGCACGAUCAUAUUAUUGUUCCCCUGUCUUUUGGUGAUGCUUCACUUUACAGCUGUGCUGAUCAGCCAAAGCAUUCCUUAUCUGGGGCAGGAGAACUAAGGCAAGAUACAUGCAGAAGGGAGGAACUCUUCUGAUUACUGCAGAGGAAAUUAAUCCUGCUGGAAAAAAAACUGUAAUGGGGCUUAAAACUUCUGCAAGAUGCCCAGGAGUCCACUUCAGAGAUGUCAAACACAGGUCCUGUCACAUCCAUCCCAGUGAGUUUUGACAUAGAAUUUACUUGCUGUGAAGAAGAACAGAAGAUCCACUUUACCCCAAAUUCUCCUCUUGGACAGAAGAUCCACUUUACCCCAAAUUCUUCUCUUCUGCAUCAUGUUUACUUCUGAUGAUGCUGGAAUCAUUGUAGAGAGAAACCUCUGCCAUUACCUAAAUGACCAAGCUUAUUUCAAUACUUUCUAAUGCUUGCCUAAUUUUUAAUGCCUCUUUUGGUUUCUGCAGCUUUAGGAGGAGCACUCGGGUCACCCAAAGCAGCACAGGCAGCUGCAGCAGCUCCCUGUGUGUGCAGGUAUCAGUGUGCACCAAACACCCCGAGCCCACUGCAGCUGGAGCAUCAUUCCAGCAGCCCUGGGGCUGUGCCAGCUGCUGGAUCGUGCUCCCACUGGAAACUACCAGAGAACUCCCUUUUCCUCUCAGCAGGCUCUCUGUUUCCUUUUCAUAAUUCUCCUAAGCUCAUUAUCUCUGUUCCCUGCCACAGCGGCUUCCACAGGUGAAUCCAGCACUGUGGAAAACAUAUCUAAAAUGUGUCUGCUGUUGUUUUUUAUCAUGAGCACACUUCUUGGUUUUUUUUUUUUUUUUUUUUUUACAGCUUUCUACUCUCAGCUUUUAAUUUUGGAAAACAGCACAUAAAAGUACUCAGCGUGCCUAUUCUGUGCCAUUCAUUACCCCACAUCUCUCCAUCCUGCCUCUGCUUAUUCAUCUCUUGCCUUAACUAAGCAGGCCUAAUCUUUUAAAAUCUCUUCUAAUAUGAAAGCUUCUCAAUGCCUUUAAUCAUUUUCACUACCCUUCACUGAAUUCUUUCUUUUUUUCCCCUCUAUCAUUUCCAGAACUGAAACACAACAUUUAAGAUGAGGUUGCACCACUGAGUUGCAUAACAAAGGUAAUAACAGUUUGUCUGCUGGUCUCUUGUCUUUUUGAGCUCCUGCUGGUGAGAUUCAGCUCUUCAUUUCAGUGUCUCCCAGCACUGGAUGUCAUUGAAAAGCAGCUGCUGGCAGAGCUGCAAACACAGCCAGGAAAGCCCAGAAUGCAAACUGGAAAAUGAUGAGGAAGAACAAGAUUCAUUUCUUCCCCUACAUUUUGCAAAGCUGUUACCUGUUUCUGAAUGGCAUUUCCAAUUUGACUCUGGGAACUGCUAAAGCAUUUACAUAAGAAUGCAAAAAUGCACACAUUAUCACUGCAGGAAGCACUUAAAAUUUAAGAUAAUUAUAUAGUAUGGAACCCAUUUCAAAGGACUCAAACAAAAUAACAACUAAUUCUAGAGAGUCACCCUUUAAGAUGAUUAUUACUCUGCACUGCCGCUCAUCUCCCACUAAAAAAAUCCUCCUCUUUACAAUUAUAUGCACAUGAUGAAUUCCCACUUUGUUCUUCCACCAUCAAGCUCCCACAGCUGCCACUGACAAAUCUGCAUUCUCCAAGAGCUUAAUGAGACAACCAAAACAUCCACACUAGGGAGAGAGGUGAAGCUGCCAGGGCCAGGCUGCCCUCCCUUCCUGGGGCUGCUGCAGCGCUGGGGACAGGGGGCACUCCUGGCAGAGCCUGCCCUUCUUCUGCUGUGCCAUGAGCAUUCCUGGCAGAGCCUGUCCUUCUUCUGCUGUGCCAUGAGCACUCCUGGCAGAGCCUGCCCUUCUUCUGCUGUGCCAUGAGCACUCCUGGCAGAGCCUGCCCUUCUUCUGGUGAGCCACAGACACUCCUGGCAGAGCCUGCCCUUCUUCUGGUGAGCCACAGGCACUCCUGGCAGAGCCUGCCCUUCCUCUGCUGUGCCACAGACACUCCUGGCAGAGCCUGCCCUUCUUCUGGUGAGCCACAGGCACUCCUGGCAGAGCCUGCCCUUCUUCUGGUGAGCCACAGACACUCCUGGCAGAGCCUGCCCUUCUUCUGCUGUGCCAUGAGCACUCCUGGCAGAGCCUGCCCUUCCUCCUCUGCUGUGCCAUGAGCAGCCGGAGCAGGGGUCCCAGAUCAGCUGAUCACACCAGAUCAGCAGCCUGGCUGACCCACAGGGACCUGCCUGACCCAGAGGAACCUGCCUGACCCACAGGGACCUGCCUGACCCACGGGGACCUGCCUGACCCACGGGGACCUGCCUGACCCACAGGGACCUGCCUGACCCACGGGGACCUGGCUGACCCACGGGGACCUGGCUGACCCACGGGGACCUGGCUGACCCACGGGGACCUGGCUGGGCACCUGGGGACCCCAAGCCCUCACCCUGCUGUUGGGCUUGUGGGAGGGCAGCAACCCGGGGUGCUGCUUCUCAUCCAUGCAAGGGAGCAGAAAGCAGGAGAAAAGCAUUUAGUCAGCUGCUUUCCAGACCAAAAAACCCCAUUUCGGCUGAGGAGAGCUGCCAUGGGAAGGGAGAAGCACGUUUGUGAGGUGGAACUGUUCUGCCCCAGCAGCCUCCCUCCACCUUCUGCUUCCACUCCCCACUGCUGCUCUCCUCUGCCUCACUGCUGCCAUUCUCUUGUCUUUUCCACAAGUGUCCCAGGGGAAAAAAAUAAAACAUUCCGCCUAGCUCUACUGCUGAAAGCAAACUCAUUUGGGGAAAAACCUACCUGCCAAAUCCUAAUAUGUUUUUAUUGGAUAUCUGCUAAGAGAGAUUUACAGAAGCUCAUGCCAAAGUCAAACUCUACUUUUUUUUUUCCCCCACAGCAAGGGCAAAAGUACCAACUGAACUCAGAGCAGAUGAAAACUUGUUGUCUAAGGUAUUAUGGAGACUUAACAAAGUCCCAUACCAAGUCUCUGACUUAAUGGACAAAUGAAGUGUUUUCCGAGUCUAAUUAUUGUAAAUAACUGCAGUGAAAAGAGCUGGAACUUUCCCACAAAUUUCAGCCUGAGAAAGAAAAGGGAUAUAUUUAAAACCUUGUAUUUGGAUACAGGACAGAGUAAACUAGAACAGAAUCUGGUAAUGGGAAGGGCAAUUCCCUCCCCUGGCAGACAGCAGUGAUCACACCUGUUAGGAUAAUGAAUGUUUGCACUCUGCUCUGAAGUGAGGGCUACCCAAUAAUAUCUGAGUGCAAUCACAUUUACAUAUUGAAGUGUGCACAGAGAUUCACCUUUCCUGCUCCCAGCAGCUGCAGUCAGUCUGAUGCAAGAAUGCAAAGGGCUGAAUUACUUCUGCCGACAGGAAAAUGAUUUCUGUAUUUUUAAAUAAUGUGAUUUAUGUAAAAAAAGGCUUAUAACCCAAGAAUUGAGUGAUGUAUAGACUAGUUCAUCAUUGGGGUUUAAAUAUGAUACCUCUAAAAUAUGCAUAUGUGUCAGUGAUUUACUAAUAACCUACUCUUACAGCACAGCACACAGAGAUGCAAAGCACAACAGGUUUAAACCCUUCAAACCCCCCCAUUUCCAUUCUCACUGCUAUAUAUAAAAAAAACUAUUUAAAUUAAGUUGGUUUUAUUACCCCUUUGUAAGUCUUAAUCCAUUACUGGGCUACCUUCUACCACAGCACAUAAAUAAAUCAGCCUUUCAUUGCCAGA